rnacentral:rRNA from 1 species
GUGAGGAAUAUUGCGCAAUGGAGGCAACUCUGACGCAGCCAUGCCGCGUGCAGGAAGAAGGCGCUACGCGUUGUAAACUGCUUUUAACCGGGAAGAAACCCCAGGACGUGUCCUGGGUUGACGGUACCGGAGGAAUAAGCACCGGCUAACUUCGUGCCAGCAGCCGCGGUAAUACGAAGGGUGCAAGCGUUAUCCGGAUUCAUUGGGUUUAAAGGGUGCGUAGGCGGAGCGUUAAGUCAGUGGUGAAAUCUUGCAGCUUAACUGUAGACUUGUCAUUGAUACUGGCGCUCUUGAGUGCGCUUGAAGUGGGCGGAAUGUGCCGUGUAGCGGUGAAAUGCUUAGAUAUGGCACAGAACACCAAUUGCGAAGGCAGCUCACUAAGGCGAUACUGACGCUGAGGCACGAAAGCGUGGGGAUCGAACAGGAUUAGAUACCCUUGUAGUCC